GUUCUUGUAGCUCAGUAGGAUAGAGCGUUCGCCUCCUAAGCGAAAGGUCGGCAGUUCGAUUCUGCCCAAGAACA
rnacentral:tRNA from 1 species